rnacentral:lncRNA from 1 species
UGGCCUUCAACUUGCAAAACCACUAAGUAUGGGACCUAGAACACUCCUUGGAUUCUUGUAGAACCUUGGAAAUACCUCAAAAAUACUCCCCAUCAUGAGUGUACGGCCGCACACCCAUGGACAUACACACCCUCAAGGUGGUCGUACACCUCACUCACUCAAUCACAUGUGAUUUUUACACUUAGUUCAAGUGUUUCCAAGUCCCUAAAGUGGUUUCCCCAACAUUUCUAGCAGUGAAAUACCCUAAUUUGACUCCUAAAUGUGUUAUUACAUGUUAAAUAGGAUAUAAUUGUAUUCGAGGCUUCACUAGGCACUCAACAUCUCAAACCGAUCUUUCGUUCAAACAAUUCACUCAAGGUGAGUUCAUACCCCUACAUUUUCCGUGUUUUUAAUGUUUUCAGGGGGAAUACAAGUAAAAGUACAAGGAAACUUGUGCUCAAAAUAUAUUAUUUUGUUUAAGAUAAUUAUAUUUUCAUAAUGCUUCUAACAUGGAAAACUGUUUUUACCAAACGAUUAAGAAAUCAACUCGUAGAAAUAGUUUUCAAAACUAGGAUAAUGAACUUAUGAAUCUGGUAGCAAAAUGUAACUUUUUAUAAAGGAUUCAUGUUAAUCACAAAAGGAUUUUUUAUAUUAUUACUUGUGAAUUCGAGAGUGUAGGAUUAGCACUUGUAACCAGAAUCUCUUAUAGGGAGAGCGUGACUGUUGUGUACAGAUCUAUACAGGACUAACUAUCCCACACCUUGCUGCCAUUUACAAUUGGACGGUUAGUUCCAGGGGUGACAAAGUCAUAAAAAGAUGCUGGCCCUGUUACGUUCCAUAUCAAGUUUUAGUACGGUUAUGACACUCGCAACCUAGAUAAUAGAGAUUUACUUUUGUAAUAAAGAAUCAAGUGAACUAACCUCAAAGUAAUAACCGAUUUGAUUACUAGAGGGUAUUAGUAAUACCAUUAGGAUUUAGUUCACCACAUAUUUAUUAGUUUUAUUUAUGCAAUAAAGCUAAAACGUCUCGUAUUCCAAGGAAAAUAAGGGAUUAUCCCAGCCUUAACCUACUUCUAGUGGUAACCAGGGUUUCCAAUAAGAAACUAUGUUUAAUCUAUAUAUGUAUGGUAGACACUUAUACUUUCUAAUAUAAAUCGAGUAAUUCAAUAGUUCUCACUUAAGGUAAAUGUAGGAUUUCCCGGUGUAAUCACCGGUAGUUUUUUAAUAGGUGGUUUACAAAUUAACUAAUAACCAUUCAUCAUUAAUUUCAUGAUUCUGUAGUUUAUACAUAACUAGUAUGAACCAAGAAGUCAUAGAAUAAAUGGGUUCAAAGAUAAUUUUCAUAAGAAAAGAUGGGAUUUUCUUGAGGAACUUUAUUUCAACUGAUAUCAAAGAGUCAUUUUUCUUUAGGUCAAUAUUUUUAAUUUCACCGAACAGUAAGAGAUUUUCGGGAAAAAUAUAACGUUUUUCAAAAGAACCGAGAACCGUUUUCCCUAAAACAAAAUGCUUAUGAACUCACCAGCUUUAUGUUGACAUUCUUUCAAAAUCUACUUGUAUUCUUAGGAAGACUGCUUAGUAUCAGGCUGUGAAUUUUGUUGUCUUUUGUAUUUCCUUGACUUUAGAAUAUGUAAUGUUUAAAACACUUAUGUAAAACUUAUACCUAUUAAUGCAAUGGUUGGCUAUACUUUGAUUACUAUAAUGGAUGUGUUGUGAUACUUACAUGACGUCAUCUGCCCCCGAACGUUUCUGCCAUUUCGGUUUCGGGGUGUGACAGAUUGGUAUCAGAGCAUUGUUAAUAGUGAACUAAGUAUAUCAAUCAUAAAAGAUAUACAACUAUAAACUCAUUGGAAUAAAAACACUCUUACCAGGAAUUAUACUUUAGAAAUAUAUAUCAUUAUGUUAUAAAAGUACAAAUAUAUAUCUAGAAUAUGUAUAUACUAGAACAAGAAUCGUAAGAAGUACAUAAUAAAAGUAUUUGGAGGUUGGACACUACGGUUAAACCUGGGCAGUUAUGUAAUCAUGUCUAGGAUCAAUAUAGCCUGAUCAACUAUAUUUAUUCGAUACAUGACCAACAUGUGCUUGCGAGUGAUUGUAGUGUUUCAACAAGUCUAAAACUUACAUAUAUACCCAAAAAAUUUCUAGAACCAAACAUAAAGGUUAAAAUACUAUAGGAGUAUUUUAGCUACUAUAAGAUAAUAACGGAGUACCGUGGAUACAAUUACAAUACUGUAGAAACAGUACUAGACUAAAUGUCUAUUAACUAUCUCUUAACCCCUAUUCUCGCAUAGAUAUCAUGGCGGGAAUCUAUCUCCCUGGUGACCCAUACUUUCCCAACCGAGGAAAUGGAGGAUGGCUUGAUGAUGAGGCAGAAGAAGAACCUGCAAUCCCCUUAGAUGAUCACUCCGCCAAGAAGUAUUCGGAGGGUUCCGACUCCGAGCCCGAAGUCAAUAAUUUACCCCCAGUGACUCCUGUCCCAAAUUCUAACCCUCAUUCGGUUUUUCAAGGCCCGACGCCUCCAUGGGUGGAAAGCUUGGAAACAUAGAGUCAAGAGCAAAAUCAACCUAUGCCCUUCAAUGGAGACAUAUUUUUUUACGAUCUGAGCCCAGGAGGCUUAGUAGAUAGGUUCCUACCAAUCCUGAUCCGUAGGGUUGCUCGGAUUGAAAUACAAGGUAGGACAGCCCUCAACAGAGUCAUGGAAGUGGAUGCCAAUGCGAGACUGCAUACAGUCCACACCAUCCGUCUUGAAGAUGCUCGUGAGAGGUCUAAGAGAGACAAUGAGGCCCUGCAUCGAGAGCUUGUUGCAACUCGAGCUGAAGUCAUAGAACUCCGAGUAAGCCAAAGAGUAUUCGAACGACACCUUCUUGACAUCGAGCGGCAGCUGGAUAACUUAAGGAUCCGUUCAAGGAGUGCCCGUUGCUAGUAGGACUACUCUACUCAUCCGUUCUUUUAGUUAAGAAUAGUCUUCCUACCUAUGCUCUAAGUAGCUCUUUUUCCCGUAAACAUCUUUGUAUUGCAAGUACUGUUUUUACUAGUUCUAUAUGUUGUCAAUUUUCCCUCUGUUGGUAUGAUGUAGACCUAUUCCUAGGUCAAAUUUUCCUAACUUUGUGUAAUCUUAAUACCAACUAUAAAGACAACAAUCUUAAUUCAGUUAAAGGUCAUCAUUAGCAAAAAUAUAUCUCAGAUCAGUAACCAGUGAACUAAGUAACUUUAUCAAAGUCGUAUCACCAUUUCAUCUACGAAACGUGUUCAUAGACUGUACUCUUACCCUGGACGAUCACUCUUUUCCCAUCAAAGUCAUUCCAUUAUCCCUAAAUAGAGCUUAGAUGUUAUAAUCGACAUGGAUGGGUUGAGUUUCAAUCACGUUCAUAACCUCUGUUUUGAGAAAACAAUUCGACCUAAUCUUCCCUCUGGCGAAGCCCUCGCUAUUUUCCAUGAUAAACUCAGUUCAAAAUUUCGUAUCAUUUCAUGAAUCAAAACCCCGAAAUGCUUACUAAAGGAAUGCUUUGCAUUUCUAGCUCAUAGUGUGGAUGGAAUGCAAAGGUUAAAGACCACGAGAGCUUUCCCCGAAAUCUACAAUUUUCCUGACUUCUUUCCCAAUAACCUUCCAGGGAUUCCUCCUGAACAUCAAGUCCAGUUUCAUAUCGACUUAAUUCCCGGAGCUGCCCCUAUAGCUAAACCUUCAUAUCGUCUAACACCGGCGGGAAUGCAAGAAUUUUCCAGCCAGCCCACUAAACUGAUCAGCGAAGGAUUCAUAAGACUGUGUUAUGUGGGCCUUAUUAUGAAUUGUUUCCAAAUCUUUUUGAAAAAUCGAAAAUCAAUGUUCACCAAUUGAAGAUAACUUAGUUCGGAUAACACUCGGUCUUGAAUCACUAUAGAACACCUACUUCUAUUCCUGCUAGGACCACACCAUAGGGAUGUGGGUCGAAUCCAUGAGAACCGGAUGAUAAAAUGGGAAAUUUUCAUGCAUAUAUAUAUAUAUAAACAUUAAAAAUACAGCCAGAGGCAACCAUUGUUUCUCACAAACUCCUUUUCUUGACAUGUAGCAGAUCAUGCCACUGAAGAAACGUAAUCAACCCAUUAGUAAAACACCAACCCUUCAGAUGGAUUUAGCUACGUUCCAAGCUGCCAUCACAACAGCCGUAGCAGCCAUCCUAGCUAUCCUUAACACUAACUACAUGAAUACUAGUGGAAAAGUUAACAACAAUCCUAAUCUUGGUGAUAACCAAAUUCAAAAACAAGUGCCUACUAGAAAAGGCACACCUGACCUCAAACCUAAUACCCUGAAGCGAAAGUUCGAGAACGAAAAAGGGAGUUGUUCAACCUAAGGACCUACUGAAAGGAAAUGAACUAGGACAACCAAUACCACCGUCAACUCCGCUAUUCAUACACCAACCACACCCUAUUUGGGAAACCUCUUGUACUGUAGCGAAUGCAACUACCAUCACUAUGGAGUUUGUCGAGUGCUGCAUUGCCCUAGAUGCAACAAGAAGGGACACAUCAUCCGCAUCUGUAGGACCCCAGUCGAGUUCAUCACUCCGACUACCAAUUCUAGGACUAAUCCAACGUGUCACCUAUGUGGUAGAGUAGGACAUUCCAAGAGAGAAUGUCCAACAGAAAAGAACGACGAAGAUGCGAGAGGGGUUUGACCCCCAGAGAAUGGGGAAGCAUCAAAGAACCUUGCUAUAUUUUGGUACAUUUUCGAAAGCCCCAAUAAUUGUUCAAAGUUGUAACUACUCUUUCGCUCAAAUUAAAUCACAACAUUCACUUAAACUUGAAGCCUUAGUGGGUAAACUAUGAUGGCUUCGUAAAUAAUCCUGCAUUGUUUCCCGUUCCUUGCUUAGUUGAGGACUUAGGGCAGGGUCAUGCAGUCAAAGGUCUUGCCAAUUUUUACUAUACAUGACUUUUAUACACCAAGCAGUUAUACAAAGACUUAGUAAGAAUCAUUUCAUAAAAGGUCCAUAACUUCAAAGUAUCAAGACCCUCGUAUUAGUAGUAACCGCCAACUUCGAAUCAAAACACUUCCUCCGAACUAACUUAAUGCGCAAUUCGACGACGUCAUUCCACUUAGUCCGACUAAGUCUACGUCAUACCAAACCCGCACGUCCCUAAGCAGACCCUUCACAUUAAACCGCUCGAAUCCCAAAAUUCUCAUCACCCAUAACGGCAAACUAGAUGCAAACUUCUAAAAUUCAUUUCCCUUUAAAACCUGAAAGUGUUGAUGCGAAGAGUAUGAAUUAGAACAGCGGUUACAAUAGUGAAGAUCCGUUGAAACAUCCAGCGAGAAUCCGAAUUCAAAAUGGACAGAUUCACCCGAAUAUAACUUCGAGGAGUAGUCCGCUUUCAUGGGGUACCUGUAUCCAUUAUCUCCGAUCGAGAUAGCAGGUUUACCUCGAGAUUCUGGUAGUCACUAUAGAAGGCUCUCGGAACUAAGCUGGAUAUGAGCACGGCUUAUCAUCUAGAGACAGAUGAAUAGAGUGAGAAAAUAGUACAUACAUUUGAAGAUACAUUGAGGGUUUACGUCAUCAACUAGGGCAUGUCGUGGGAUACUCAUCUACCCUGAGUUGAAUUUUCGUACAACAACAGCUACCGUACCAAUAUCAAGGCUGCACCGUUGAAGCGCUCUAUAGUCAUAAGUACAGAUCCCCUCUGUGAUGGCCUGAAGUAAGUGACACGCAGCCAGUCAAGUGUCAAGUCCCUGACAGCACUCUCACAGGUCCUGAGAUCAUCCGAGAAGUAGACUAAAAAGAUUGUAUAAAUCAAAGGUACAUUGAACCAUUCGAGAUCCUUGCUAGGAUUAGUUCAUGUAGCUUACAAACUCUGUUUACCUCGAGAACUUAGCAACAUAUAUAAUCUCCUUCACGAAUAGAACCUAAAGAAGUGUCUGUUCGAUGAGACAUUCGUCAUUCCUCUCGACGGGAUCGAACUAGAUGAGAGUCUACACUUUGUGGAAGAACCUAUUGAAAUCAUGGACCGGGAAGUCAAAAGAACAAAAAAGAGUUGCAUCCUGAUAGUGAAGGUUCGCUAGAAUGCCAAUUAGGGACCUGAAACAAAAGUACCCUCGUCUUUUUCCAAAUCCAUGAUUCGUAUCUUUAUUCUUGAAUUUUGGGACGAAAUUCCCUCUAACAGGGGGAUGAUGUGACAACCCGAAACUUUUAUCUUGUUCGUCUAGUCGGUUUAAUCAAUGUUAAAAUUAUUUCUGUUAACUCCUAACAUCGUAAAAGGGUUCAUUUAAGUGUUCUAAGCUUAUGUACAACCAACAUAAAGAUUAGGAAUGAGGUGGACGCACACACCUUAAAGCCCCUCGAGAGUUAGAAUGUGGCCUCUAUCUUCUAGUUGGACACGACCCUAGCCUUGAUUCUCUUGAAAAAUCGACAUUUUGUCAUGGAUGAAGACAGUAAGGCCGCACACCCCUCUGUAUGGCUGCACACUCAUUUGUACAGCCGCACACGCCUUGUACGGCCGCACACACCUCCCAGAACCGUAAACACCCACUUUGAUGUUCAUAUUUGGCCUUCAACUUGCAAAAACACUAAGUAUGGGACCUAGAACACUCCUUGGAUUCUUGUAGAACCUUGGAAAUACCUCAAAAAUACUCCCCAUCAUGAGUGUACGGCCGCACACCCAUGGACGUAUACACCCUCAAGGUGGUCGUACACCUCAGUCACUCAAUCACAUGUGAUUUUUACACUUAGUUCAAGUGUUUCCAAGUCCCUAGAGUGGUUUCCCCAACAUGUCUAGUAGUGAAAUACCCUAAUUUGACUCCUAAAUGUGUUAUUACAUGUUAAAUAGGAUCUAAUUGUAUUCGAGGCUUCACUAGGCACUCAACAUCUCAUAC